GACAGAGGGUGCAAACGUUGUUCGGAAUUACUGGGCGUAAAGCGCGUGUAGGCGGCCAUCUAAGUCGGGCGUGAAAUCCCACGGCUCAACCGUGGAAGUGCACUCGAAACUGGAUGGCUAGAGUCCUGGAGAGGAAGGUGGAAUGCUUGGUGUAGAGGUGAAAUUCGUAGAUAUCAAGCGGAACACCGGUGGCGAAGGCGGCCUCUGGACAGUGACUGGACGCUGAGACGCGAAAGCGUGGGGAGCAAACAGGG
rnacentral:rRNA from 1 species